UGAAUAACACAGUCUGAAUGAAUAAUUCAGUGUGUCAUGAGUUGGGAAGGGAGAAAAAAGCAGGGUAUCUAUACAUGUCAUUUUCAAUCAUCUUGACUUGAAUUGCCUGGUCUUAUUUGGUCAAACAAGAACAGCUGGGGGGAAAAUGGUUAAACUUCUUACUUGGUUCUUUGAGACAAAGUAGCUGGCUGAUUGUCCUUUCUGCUCAGUGGAAUGUGCUGGCCUCAGAGGCCAUGACGGGUAACUGAACUGAGGCCAUGACGGGUAACUGAACUGAGGCCAACAGGAUCGUACCCAGGGAGGAAACAGCAACAGGCAACAUCUUCAUUUUUGCCUUGUUGGUGUAACCUUGUUUACAGAGAAGACACGGAAGAGAAAGGACUUGGAGAGUGAGAGAGGAAAAAGAGAAGACAGAGCGUGAGGAAGGGCCAGGAGGACGCAAAGGAACUUAUCUGUUACCGCUCAGGGAGUCUCCCAAGUGUCUGUGGGAGGGCCACCGGAGGGCUUGUUCCACAUGCUGACCGAGGAUGGGCUACACUUGUCUUUCUCGAAGCUCUGCUCCCCAGAGUGAGUGCACUGAUGCAGCCUCCUGGCCAUGUGCGAUGUGAGGACAGGUUUUCUCCUCCACUCUGUUGCCGUUGACAACUGUGUUGCAGCAAACAUCCUUCCCUGUGUGUCCUUGACACAGCCCUCUCCCUACUGAGGCCCUCGACUUCCCUGAUGCAUCAUUCAGCUGCUGGGAAAUUCAGCGGACUUGCUUCCUUCCUCGUGCGCAAGCGUGAGAACAUUCCCAAGGUACGAAUCCCAAAGGAGAAUCGACGGUUCAUGGGGUAUGCAGCUUCAUUUAAAAGUUGAGAAUAAAGGG